CCUAUAAUUAAAAGGAGGAAGGGUAAGCCUUCUUAGGACUAGCAUGUAAUAGGAUGGGAAUAAAAGGGUUAGCUUUAUCUCUUGCUUCAAUAGCCAAAUAGCUGAGUUCUCACCCAAAAGUGCUGUUCUCCUUGAAAGUGUUGUUUGCCCAUGAAGUAGAAGAGAAAAUUGAGGACUACAACCUGAACAGGUUAAGAAAAAUGGUGCUGUGUUCUAUGAAGCUGAGAAGCACAUAGUGAUGAAAUACCAAGGUUGCUGUAGCCUUAAGUGGAUGUUCAUAACCAGCAACGUGGAACGGCUUGGAUGUGCCCUUUGGGGUUCUUUCAUUAAGGCAGUGUGGCAGAAAGGAAUGCAUCAUGUUCCUAUGCAAUGAAGUCAAGACCACCUGGGAGCCAUGGCAGCAACCACAGCACAGCAUAAUUGCAAUACAAUAAAUAAUACCUGGUAGAAAGUA